GUUCAGGUGCGCCAGGCAUGUCACUGGCUCGGAAGGACGAAAAACAAGGCAACCCGCGUACGAACAUUCCUCAUACCGCAUGAAAUUGUCUUCAGAGACGCGUGUUUCCAGAAGCUGAGCCGCAAAUGGAGGGUUGCCAUGUGUUACCCUUUUAACGCCAAUUUCAUUCAGUUAAAAAAAAAAAAAAAGAAUACAAAAAUGCACAAAGCAGAAACAACUGUUAGGAAUAAUUUCUCGCUUGGGUGCAAGUUGUGCGCGACGGACUCUCCCGCGACAUUUCGACGUGGCCUGGCAACACGGCGCAACUCCGACAAGCACGGGGGUCGUGAAAAAGAACGAAGGCCGGCACCGUGCACGCUGCUCGGGUGCUGUUCGGGGCUGUACUCGUUACCCCGACGACGCUGCCGCUCGGUGGCAUCACCCAGCCGCACUUGGCGACACUUCGCAACAUGUGGCAGCGCGAGCGCGCGCGCGCGCGCGCGUCGCCUCUCCACUCACCGCGCGCCGCGACGUUGCCGCGUCCGCUGGUCAUCCGCCGGAGUUUUGUCGGCUCGCACCCGCGUCCGUCCCUCCAGCCCAACUCGGAAGUUUUGUUUCUCUUCUUUCUUUAUUUCUUUCUUUCUUCUGCUCCCCCCGUUCGCUCCGCAGCCGCCACCCGACGCGUCCACGCGUCCGCGCGCCUCCACGCACGCAGGGCUGUCUCGCGUGCCGGGCUCGGCGGUCCGGACGGCGGAGCUGCCUGCAGUCGGCGGCGAGGAGGAGCGCGAGACAGACGUCAGGCACGCGGCGGCGCGUGCGGCGGAGAGCCGGGGGGCGAGCGGUCCUGCCCACUCCACACCCCCACGCAGUUUGAAGAAUUUAAUCAAAGACCCUGGCAUACUGGGGCUAUGGUUACCGGAAGAGACCGGGAAGAAACCGGAGAACCUGGAGGAAACCCGCGCUAACACGGGGAGAGCAUACAAACUCCACACACACAAGGUCAGAGAGAGGAUUAGAACUCACAAUCUUGUAGGCUUGAGGUCCGCCUUUCAGCCAUGCAGCCCCUACACCACCAUCAUCGCCACCUCCCAUUGGCCGCUCCCGUUAGGGGUCACCACAGCGGACCAGCAUGCCUGGCUGUCCACAUAAUUCAUCUGGCAAAAGUUUUAUGCCGAAUGCCUUUCCCAGUGCAACCCUCUCCAUUUACCAGGGCUUGGGACCGUCACCAAGGAACACACAGUCACGCGCCGAAGAUCUAUUUCAAUUAAGUUCUUAAGAUUUGUACAAAGAUGCCUGUGGGGAUUUAGAUUAUAUGUGAAAACAUCUUAAAGCAUCAUGUUUUCAGGGCUGAACUUUGACCGCAGAGUGAACACAUUUGUAGCCUCCACUGAAACAAAUAAUUAACCAGUGUUGCCUUAAAUAUGGUUUGUGUGGUCACAUGUUUAUGGGAACCUUAUCUAAUUAUUACUGAAAAAAAUUGAUCAUGAAGAGAAAGAAAAGCAAUAUUUUAUUACUGCAAGAGUUUCACAUUUUCAAACAAAUCCGACCCCCUUUCCGUGUGUGUUUGUACACUUUCACCAUUUUUAUCACACGCACGGGGGUAUUUUUAAGUGAGGUGUUUAUUAGGAGCAGGUGGAGGAGAAGACGUAGAUUAUCUAGCGUAGCAGAGAACAGCUGUCCCAUGUCUGAUUAACGCUGGAACCCUGCACACACACACACACACUCAUUCCAAAUAGCCUCAGGCCAGCAGAUUCCACAGUUUAUGAACUGACCAUGAGAUAUUGAUUAUGUCUUCUGACUGCAAAAUUAUUGCUCACCUAUCGUUAACUGUUAAUUGAACAUUGUUCAUGUGCGACCUUAUCAAGGCCGUUUCUGCCGAUUUCAGUGUCGUUUCUAAUGAAUUCAACGAAUGGAGUUCUAAUUGCAUUCAAAAUAAACGAGCCUGUGGGACAAUCA
ensembl:lncRNA